CCUUGGAUGUCUUUGGACUCUUUUUUGAGAAAGAAAGGAAUGUCUCUUUUAUUGAUACAGAUUUGUUUGGUUUUAAUUUUUUAUUUAUUCCUUUUACUGGUUUCGAAGUGAUGAUCCUUUUAUUAUUCUUUUAGCGCUUACCUUCAAAUUUUAAAUGGACAUUAUUGAGGCUUGUCAACGUCUACAAAAGUGUACUGGAAUUUUGAUUGGGAUUAUGUUGAAUCACUGGAUCAAUUUUUGGAGAACUGACAACUCAACAAUAUUGAGUGUGUAGGUUUAUAUAUGUGAUAUAGCUCUCCAUGUAUUUAGAUUUUUAGUUUCCCUCCACAAUCUUUUAUAGUUUUAAUUAAACAAAUUGCACACAUAUUUUAAAAAAUGUAUCCCUAGGUAUUUUAUUUUUGAUGCUAUUGUAAAUGCUAUUGGGCUUUUUAAAAAAUCGUUUCAAUUUUCUGUUGUUUUUGUUAAAUAUAAAAAUGCAAAUAAUUUGUGUUCAUAGACCUUAUAUCUGGAAACGUUGCUAAAUGUAUUUUUUUAUUCCAUUAGCUCUUUUGCUUAUUCCUUACUAUUUUCUUUGUGGGCAGUCAUGUCAUCUACAAAUAAACAGUUUUACUCCUUUUC
rnacentral:lncRNA from 1 species